AGUGAACGCUGGCGGUAGGCCUAACACAUGCAAGUCGAACGGCAGCACAGUAAGAGCUUGCUCUUACGGGUGGCGAGUGGCGGACGGGUGAGGAAUACAUCGGAAUCUACUUUUUCGUGGGGGAUAACGUAGGGAAACUUACGCUAAUACCGCAUACGACCUACGGGUGAAAGCAGGGGAUCUUCGGACCUUGCGCGAUUGAAUGAGCCGAUGUCGGAUUAGCUAGUUGGCGGGGUAAAGGCCCACCAAGGCGACGAUCCGUAGCUGGUCUGAGAGGAUGAUCAGCCACACUGGAACUGAGACACGGUCCAGACUCCUACGGGAGGCAGCAGUGGGGAAUAUUGGACAAAGGGCGCAAGCCUGAUCCAGCCAUACCGCGGGGGUGAAGAAGGCCUUCGGGUUGUAAAGCCCUUUUGUUGGGAAAGAAAAGCAGCAGGUUAAUACCCCGCUGUUCUGACGGUACCCAAAGAAUAAGCACCGGCUAACUUCGUG
rnacentral:rRNA from 1 species